rnacentral:rRNA from 1 species
CGGGGCGCAGCUAACACAUGCAGUCGAACGGUAACAGGAAAUAGCUUGCUAUUUUGCUGACGAGUGGCGGACGGGUGAGUAAUGCUUGGGAAUUUGCCUUGUUGCGGGGGACAACAGUUGGAACCGACUGCUAAUACCGCAUAAUGUCUACGGACCAAAGGUGGCCUCUAUUUAUAUGCUAUCGCGACAAGAUGAGCCCAAGUGGGAUUAGCUAGUUGGUAAGGUAAUGGCUUACCAAGGCGUCGAUCCCUAGCUGGUCUUAGAGGAUGACCAGCCACACUGGAACUGAGACACGGUCCAGACUCCUACGGGAGGCAGCAGUGGGGAAUAUUGCACAAUGGAGGAAACUCUGAUGCAGCCAUGCCGCGUGUGUGAAGAAGGCUUUCGGGUUGUAAAGCACUUUCAGCGAGGAGGAAAGGGUAAUGGUUAAUAUCCAUUAUCUGUGACGUUACUCGCAGAAGAAGCACCGGCUAACUCCGUGCCAGCAGCCGCGGUAAC